AAACUAACAAGGAUUCCCCUAGUAACGGCGAGUGAAGAGGGAAGAGCCCAAGAUUGAAAGCUGGCGUCUUCGGCGUCCGCAUUGUAAUCUCAAGAAGCAUUUUCCGCUUCGGACCAAGCCUAAGUCCCUUGGAAAAGGGCAUCGUAGAGGGUGAGAAUCCCGUACAUGGCUUGGAGCGCCCGAGGCUUUGUGAUAUGCAUUCUAAGAGUCGAGUUGUUUGGGAAUGCAGCUCAAAAUGGGUGGUAAAUGCCAUCUAAGGCUAAAUAUUGGGGAGAGACCGAUAGCGAACAAGUACCGUGAGGGAAAGAUGAAAAGAACUUUGAAAAGAGAGUUAAACAGUACGUGAAAUUGCCAAAAGGGAAGGGUAGGAGGUCAGAGAUGCGGCGUGGGAUUCAGCCUUGCUUUUGCUUGGUGUUUUUCCCUCAUUGCAGGCCAACGUCGGUUUUGGACACUGGAGAAUGGUGAGAGGAAUGUGGCACUCUUCGGGGUGUGUUAUAGCCUCUCACUGGAUACAGCGACCGGGACCGAGGAACGCAGCGUACUCGAAAGAGCGGGCCUUCGGGCACCUUUACGCUUAGGGCGUUGGCAUAAUGGCCCUCUACCAC
rnacentral:rRNA from 1 species